rnacentral:misc_RNA from 1 species
AGGAGAGCGAUCAUGCGGCGUUUUCUGAGGUCGCUGAAUCUACGGUUCCACGUCGCGCUUCGGCAGUCGCAUUCGACGCACACUGUCAGGUGCGUACGCGCGUCCACCAACACGCGUGUGGGGGAUCAGACCCCAGCGCUGGCGCCCGAGCUCGCUGCUGCCGCUUCUUCUGAUAAGCCGUUAUGCGCAGCGUCCACCGACAGCACGAGUAGCAGCGGUGAUACGGCGAAUAAGCAAACAUCGCGGCACCCAAUGGAGCUGCUGACGCGCGUCUUUCAGCGCCAUCCACCCGCACUGCGUUUGCAUCGCGAGCUCACUAUCGCUCUCGCCGACGGCGACUCCGCCCGUGCGGCGGACUUGGCCAGCGUGCUCGCCACCACCGUCCAGCGCGUCGUGGCAGCGGAGGAGGCGGAUUCGAGCGACGCUGCGACGCCACCUGAAGGGCCCGCGAGUACAGAGCACUUCUCCCAGAGCGACAUCCCUGUGGCUGGCCUCGAGGAUGUGGAGGAGGCAGUGGAAAAGACACGUCAAGCGCUCCUCCAUGAGGCGACGGUGCAGGUGAGCAGUGGCGUAGCUAGAGACACGGGCGGCGGUGCUGUCUCUUCCGCGCCCGCGGCUGCGGAGCGGUCACUUCCUUUUUGGCGCGAUCCGGAGCGGCUAUGUGUCACCGUCUUGGAGUCCACGUUCGAGACGGAGGUGCUCGGUGGCGAGUCUCAGGACACGCUAACACCGGCUGGCAACCGGGCAGCGGAGCACGAGGCGGAACAGGUGCGCAUACUCGACGCCUACUUGGACAAGGAAGACGCACGCUGGAAGGCGCAGAAGGCGGCGAUUGCGAAGAUCGUUCUCGACGUGACACGCUCCUUGGGACUCACCCCUGAAGACUUGCAAGCGUUCGAGGGCAUCUCCGCCUCUGCGGGCGCUGGUGCGGCUGCGGCGGUGGGCGAGCGGAAACUGAACGUGCUGCGUCACAGCAAUCUUGUCAUUCGCGGUGAGAUGCCGUCUGCGCCGCUCUCGAACGCUGCCUCGGAGCGUGUGUCCGAGGGCGUAGAGGCGGAACUGCGGGCGCUAGAAGAACGGAUGUCGUCUCUCGGGCAACCGCUGACACCGUCGGAGGUGCGCAUGGCACGCUACGAGCUUCAGAUGAGCAAGUCGAAGAUGCGGUACGUCGUCGGGGUGCACAAGGAGCUGCAGCUCGCCCUCGACCACAGCGCCGCGCUGCGGGCAUCACUUAGAGAGAAAAGUACUGCAGAGGUUACCUUCUCGACGGGCGCUGAGGUGUUCAUGGCGGAGGUGAUUCGCGCUCUGAACGAAGGAGCCGAUGCGUACAGUGCGAAUGUCACGGCAGCGGGUGCGCAGCUGACUGUGAGCAACGUGAAAGCGCGAGAGGCUGUGGAGUCACCGGUGCUCCCCUUCACUUUCAUGCUCAAGUGCUCUCUGUGGUUCACCACUGCACCACCACGUCCACCUUCUUCCUCCUCAGACUAGCGAGUCAGAGAAGGCUCUCGGCGGGGGGGGGCGUUUCAUGCGCGACCAUUGGCGGGACAGAGUGUCGGUCGCGUCCCUCGGUAUCUGUCCGUCUCUCCAGCACAUUCACGUGCCUCGGUGCUUGUCGAUUCUUCAGACAAGCUUUCGAAGGGCGUUCAGCGCACACGCGUGUGCAGGGGGUGCACAAACCCCUUGCCACAUGCUCUUCGACAGCGUUCGAAGAGCUGCGCAAUAAAC